rnacentral:rRNA from 1 species
GAGUUUGAUUAUGGCUCAGGACGAACGCUGGCGGCGUGCCUAAUACAUGCAAGUGGAACGCAUUGAUUUCACCGGAGCUUGCUCCACCGAAAUUAGUGAGUCGCGAACGGGUGAGUAACGCGUAGGUAACCUACCUCUUAGCGGGGGAUAACUAUUGGAAACGAUAGCUAAUACCGCAUAACAAUAGGAUACACAUGUACCCUAUUUAAAAGGAGCAACUGCUUCACUAAGAGAUGGACCUGCGUUGUAUUAGCUAGUUGGUAGGGUAACGGCCUACCAAGGCAUCGAUACAUAGCCGACCUGAGAGGGUGAUCGGCCACACUGGGACUGAGACACGGCCCAGACUCCUACGGGAGGCAGCAGUAGGGAAUCUUCGGCAAUGGGGGGAACCCUGACCGAGCAACGCCGCGUGAGUGAAGAAGGUUUUCGGAUCGUAAAGCUCUGUUGUAAGAGAAGAACGUGUGAGAGAGUGGAAAGUUCUCACAGUGACG